AUGCUUCAUAAAUUGGCAUGUGGUGCCAGCGUUGGAAUGGAAGAUGUUGGCUUGGUACCGGGUAGCAUGCCUUUACUGGAGAAAGUCACCUAUUGGCUAAAUUGCAAGAAUUGCGACGAUGAUGAGAUGGAGAAAACACAAGCAAAAUUGAGGCACGCCACCAGGAUCCACCCCAAUAGUCCUGCCCUUGCAAUACGAAGGCAUAACUACAAGGAUGCUUCUUGUGGCACAGAUCAGCACCAAGAACAGAUGCUACUGAGGUUAAUUAUUCAAUCACUGAAGCGUGUGCUACAUGAUGGUGGAGAGGUUUCGGCCACUGAUGAAGAGCCAGACGAUGGUGGUGCACGCAAGGUAAGUCGUAUCACUAGAGAAGAAGGGGCACCGACCAUUGCUUAA
rnacentral:rRNA from 1 species